rnacentral:rRNA from 1 species
AGCGAACGCUGGCGGCAUGCCUAACACAUGCAAGUCGCACGGGGGGCUUCGGCCUCCCCGUGGCGGACGGGUGAGGAACGCGUAGGGACCUGUCGAGGGGUGGGGGAUAACCGCGGGAAACUGCGGCUAAUACCGCAUGACGCCCCGGCGUGACAGCCGGGGCCCAAGGCGAAGGCCGCCCGCCGAGGGGCCUGCGUCCGAUUAGCUGGUUGGCGGGGUAGCGGCCCACCAAGGCGUCGAUCGGUAGCUGGUCUGAGAGGGUGAUCAGCCACGCCGGGACUGAGACACGGCCCGGACUCCUACGGGAGGGAGGAGUGGGGAAUAUUGGACGAUGGGCGCAAGCGUGAUACAGCAGUGCCGGGGGGGUGAAGAAGGUCUUCGGAUUGUAAAGCCCUUUGGGCGGGGACGAUGGUGACGGUAACCGCAGAAGAAGCCCCGGCUAACUUCGUG